UACGUAGGGUGCAAGCGUUAAUCGGAAUUACUGGGCGUAAAGCGUGCGCAGGCGGCUUUGCAAGACAGAUGUGAAAUCCCCGGGCUCAACCUGGGAACUGCAUUCGUGACUGGCAGGCUAGAGUAUGGCAGAGGGGGGUGGAAUUCCACGUGUAGCAGUGAAAUGCGUAGAGAUGUGGAGGAACACCGAUGGCGAAGGCAGCCCCCUGGGCCAAUACUGACGCUCAUGCACGAAAGCGUGGGGAGCAAACAGG
rnacentral:rRNA from 1 species